rnacentral:lncRNA from 1 species
GGAAUUACUAAGAUUAUCUUAUUUUAGCACUGGAGAGGGUCUGUGAGGAAGGAAGAAGUCUUUCCGGUAUUUAGGGAUGGAGUCCUUUAGGGCUUUAAAUGCCAACAUGAGCACCCUGAAUUGGGCCCAGAAAGAAAAAUGGCAGCCAGUACAGCUAUUCUGAAACAGGCUAUAUGCAAGAUCUAAACAGAACCCCAGCCAGUAAUCUGGGCAGGGCAUAUUGGACAUUUCUGCGUGUCAUGCUGCCAGAAAAACAUGGGGCCAGGUCUGUAAAAAAACAAUAAAAGAGUUAGCAAGGGCAGUAGAGUGGAUUCAAGUGGCACAGGGCUUUCUUUAACCACAGAACAUUGAGGGGGGGGGGGAGAUAAAGGAGAUUGGCUAUGCCACCCCAGGGACCAGUCAUUUACAAAAGUCAGGCAGGCAGACAUUAAAAGGAGCUAGAAGAGAGAGGAGGAGGAAGCCCCAGUGAGGGACUGCUCUCCUCCUCCCCUCCUUUAAUAAAACAGGAUGAGGUAUUUGCUUGCAUACCUGAAGGAGCGUCUCCACCCCCAUCGUUCUGCCCGAACUCUGAGGUCUAGCGCUGAGGGCCUUCUGGCGGUUCCCUCACUGCGAGAAGCCAAGUUACAGGGAACCAGACAGAGGGCCUUCUCGGUAGUGGCACCCACCCUGUGGAACGCCCUCCCACCAGAUGUCAAAGAGAAGAAAAACUACCAGACUUUUCUAAAAAGUCUGAAGGCAGCCCUCUUUAGGGAAGCUUUUAAUGUUUAACAGACCAUUGUAUUUUAAUACUUUGUUGGAAGCCGCCCAGAGUGGCUGGGGAAACCCAGCCAGAUGGGCGGAGUAUAAAUAAUAAAUUAUUAUUAUUAUUAUUAUUAUUAUUAUUAUUAUUAUUCGCUGGAGAUAUUUCAAUAGAGACCAGAUGGGAAUUUGCAGAACCUGUGUGGAGUGGAAUUGCUAAAAAACGUUGGGAUGGAACAUUGUACGCAACUCCUGCAGCCAAGCUGGUGUCAAAUGCAUAACUCUGCUUUCCUUUGGACCACAUCAGCAAGGCGGGGGAGGGAGGAGUCAU